rnacentral:rRNA from 1 species
GAUGAACGCUGGCGGCGUGCCUAAUACAUGCAAGUCGAGCGAACGGACGAGAAGCUUGCUUCUCUGAUGUUAGCGGCGGACGGGUGAGUAACACGUGGAUAACCUACCUAUAAGACUGGGAUAACUUCGGGAAACCGGAGCUAAUACCGGAUAAUAUUUUGAACCGCAUGGUUCAAAAGUGAAAGACGGUCUUGCUGUCACUUAUAGAUGGAUCCGCGCUGCAUUAGCUAGUUGGUAAGGUAACGGCUUACCAAGGCAACGAUGCAUAGCCGACCUGAGAGGGUGAUCGGCCACACUGGAACUGAGACACGGUCCAGACUCCUACGGGAGGCAGCAGUAGGGAAUCUUCCGCAAUGGGCGAAAGCCUGACGGAGCAACGCCGCGUGAGUGAUGAAGGUCUUCGGAUCGUAAAACUCUGUUAUUAGGGAAGAACAUAUGUGUAAGUAACUGUGCACAUCUUGACGGUACCUAAUCAGAAAGCCACGGCUAACUACGUGCCAGCAGCCGCGGUAAUACGUAGGUGGCAAGCGUUAUCCGGAAUUAUUGGGCGUAAAGCGCGCGUAGGCGGUUUUUUAAGUCUGAUGUGAAAGCCCACGGCUCAACCGUGGAGGGUCAUUGGAAACUGGAAAACUUGAGUGCAGAAGAGGAAAGUGGAAUUCCAUGUGUAGCGGUGAAAUGCGCAGAGAUAUGGAGGAACACCAGUGGCGAAGGCGACUUUCUGGUCUGUAACUGACGCUGAUGUGCGAAAGCGUGGGGAUCAAACAGGAUUAGAUACCCUGGUAGUCCACGCCGUAAACGAUGAGUGCUAAGUGUUAGGGGGUUUCCGCCCCUUAGUGCUGCAGCUAACGCAUUAAGCACUCCGCCUGGGGAGUACGACCGCAAGGUUGAAACUCAAAGGAAUUGACGGGGACCCGCACAAGCGGUGGAGCAUGUGGUUUAAUUCGAAGCAACGCGAAGAACCUUACCAAAUCUUGACAUCCUUUGACAACUCUAGAGAUAGAGCCUUCCCCUUCGGGGGACAAAGUGACAGGUGGUGCAUGGUUGUCGUCAGCUCGUGUCGUGAGAUGUUGGGUUAAGUCCCGCAACGAGCGCAACCCUUAAGCUUAGUUGCCAUCAUUAAGUUGGGCACUCUAAGUUGACUGCCGGUGACAAACCGGAGGAAGGUGGAGAUGACGUCAAAUCAUCAUGCCCCUUAUGAUUUGGGCUACACACGUGCUACAAUGGACAAUACAAAGGGCAGCGAAACCGCGAGGUCAAGCAAAUCCCAUAAAGUUGUUCUCAGUUCGGAUUGUAGUCUGCAACUCGACUACAUGAAGCUGGAAUCGCUAGUAAUCGUAGAUCAGCAUGCUACGGUGAAUACGUUCCCGGGUCU